UUGACCUCAAAUCAGGUAGGACUACCCGCUGAACUUAAGCAUAUCAAUAAGCGGAGGAAAAGAAACUAACAAGGAUUCCCCUAGUAACUGCGAGUGAAGCGGGAAAAGCUCAAAUUUGAAAUCUGGCAGUUCUUUUGACUGUCCGAGUUGUAAUCUAGAGAAGUGUUACCUGUGCUGGACCAUGUACAAGUCUUCUGGAAUGGGGCAUCAUAGAGGGUGAGAAUCCCGUCUUUGACAUGGACUACCAGUGCACUGUGGUGCGCUCUCAAAGAGUCGAGUUGUUUGGGAAUGCAGCUCAAAAUGGGUGGUAAAUGCCAUCUAAAGCUAAAUAUUGGCGAGAGACCGAUAGCGAACAAGUACCGUGAGGGAAAGAUGAAAAGAACUUUGGAAAGAGAGUUAAACAGUACGUGAAAUUGCUGAAAGGGAAACGCUUGAAGUCAGUCACGUUGGCUAGAAAUCAGCCUUGCUUUUGCUUGGUGUACUUUCUGGUUUGACGGGUCAGCAUCGAUUUCUUUGACCAUUGGAUAAAGUCUUUGGGAAUGUGGCAUCUUUGGAUGUGUUAUAGCCCAUUGUCGCAUAUGAUGGUUGGGAUCGAGGAACUCAGCACGCCGCAAGGCCGGGUUUAUACCACGUUCGUGCUUAGGAUGCUGGCAUAAUGGCUUUAAUCGACCCGU
rnacentral:rRNA from 1 species